AUAAAACGGACGGAGCCAUCUGGAGCCAUCGGGAAUCAGUCGUAUGGUAUGUGAACGUACAUUGGUAUCGUAACGAAAGUACGACCAGUGUAUAUUAGUAGCAUCCGCUCGACGCAUUUCUCGAAGGUAAGCGCCGCGACCGAUACGAAAGGCCAGUGAAGCGAUUCGAUUGAGGUCGAGGCCCGCAAGGGUCUUGCUACCAGUCUUUUCGCGUGAGUCGCUGGACCGCAGUAUGUAUCGAGCGCCGGAAAUUAUAUACGUCGGCCAAAAAGCUCACUUGAGUAGCGUAUAGUUGGUUCAUUAGCUGGUACCUGCUCGCAGGUGCUGGCGACUCGGGUCGACUAGAAGUUACCAGUGACGUAGACGUAUUGGCGUCGGCGGCGUCAGAGUUGGCCACCCAUCCGACCCGUCUUGAAACACGGACCAAGGAGUCUAACAUAUGCGCGAGCUAAUGGGUGGAAAACCCAAAGGCGCAAUAAAAGUAAAGGCUGUUUCGGACAGCUAAGGUACGAUCCUGGAGUCCAGGCUCCAGGCGCAGUACCGUCCCGUCUCGACCGC
rnacentral:rRNA from 1 species